rnacentral:rRNA from 1 species
CCUACGGGUGGCAGCAGUCGAGAAUCAUUCACAAUGGGGGAAACCCUGAUGCUGCGACGCCGCGUGGGUGAAUGAAGGUCUUCGGUUUUUAAACCCUUGUCAUGUGGGAGCAAAUUAAAAAGAUAGUACCACAAGAGGAAGAGACCGCUAACGCUGUGCCAGCAGCCGCGGUAAUACAGAGGUCGUGAGCGUUGUUCGGAAGCACUGGGCGUAAGGGGAGCGUAGGCUGUUUCGUAAGUCGGGUGUGAAAGGCGCGGGCUCAACCCGCGGACGGCACAUGAUACUGGGAGACUAGAGUGAAGGAGGGGAGACCGGAAUUCUCGGUGUAGCAGUGAAAUGCGUAGAGAUCGGGAGGAACACUCGUGGCGAAGGCGGGUUCCUGGACAGUAACUGACGCUGAGGCACGAAGGCCAGGGGAGCGAAAGGGAUUAGAUACCCGAGUAGUC